AAAAUGGAUGGCGCUAGAGCGUCGGGCCUAUACCGGACCGUUGCGGCACUAAAGAACCCCUCGAGGGGAGUCACGCCGCAACGAGUAGGAGGGUCGCCGAGGUGAGCGUCGAAGCUUGGGGCGCGAGCCUGAGUGGAGCCUCCUCGGGUGCAGAUCUUGGUGGUAGUAGCAAAUAUUCAAAUGUGAAAGAUCUGAUGAGCACACGUC